rnacentral:lncRNA from 1 species
AACUUGGUGACAUUAUUAGAUAGAGAUUGAAAAGUGAUAGUUGAACUUUUUUUAAAUUAGUUUCUUCAAAUUACAGGAGACGGAGGAAGUAGAUUAAAAAUUGUUUUCUUGGUUUUAGAAUGUAUUUUUGUGCCCAGUUAGUGCAAUUUAUUUCAAUGUGCCCUGUUAGUAGCAGUAGCUAAAUUUAAAUUUUAAUUUUAAAAUUUAAAUUUACGUCAUUUAGCAGACGCUCUUAUCCAGAGCGACUUACAGUAGUAGCUAGCUACCAGCUCUAGUUUCGACGCCAACAUUACCUACAAUUUUGUUGACUUUGUUGAAAAACCCCUUUCAUUCUCUGGGGUACACGGAAAAGGUGCGAAUUAAAACUGAGAAUUCGUUUCAUGAAGACAGAUGCAAAGCUAAAUCCCCUCCUGUUCACUGAUUAAGAGGUGAUGACUACUCCACUCUACUACCAUUGUCAACUCUCUCCUGACAUGAACUGAAGCCACGUCUCAUGUGCCCGGUCAUCCACUGGCACAUUGAGUGUUUCCCCUCCACGCACUUCAAAUCCUGUCCUGCACUGGUCAAGUCUCUAAACACCUCAACUCAUGCUUCAUACCCUCAUUCAGUCACUGCUGUGAUCCCUUCCCAACACUCAUGCCUGUUCUGAUGUGGACAGGAUGAUUCUAGGAAACAAGUGUGACAUGAACGACAAAAGACAGGUGUCUAAAGAGCGAGGAGAAAAGUUGGCGAUUGAUUACGACAUCAAGUUCUUAGAAACGAGCGCCAGAUCCAGCCUGAAUGUGGAAGAGGACCUGAGCCCUAGGACCAUGCCUCAGGACUACCUGGCUUGAUGACUCCUUGCUGUCCCCAGUUCACCUGGCCGUGCUGCUGCUCCAGUUCCAACUGUUCUGCCUGCAGCUAUGGAACCCUGACCUGUUCACCGGACGUGCUACCUGUCCCAGACCUGCUGUCCCAGACCUGCUGGAACCCUGACCUAUUCACCGGACAUGCUACCUGUCCCAGACCUGCUGUUUUCAACUCUCUAGAGACAGCCAGAGCGGUAGAGAUACUCUCAAAGAUCGGCUAUGAAAAAGCCAACUGACACUAACUCUUGUGUUACUGACUUGUUGCACCCUCGACAACUACUAUGAUUAUUAUUAUUUGACCAUGCUGGUCAUUUAUGAACAUUUGAACAUUAUAACAGCCAUGUGCUGUUAUAAUCUCCACCCGGCA